UACGUAGGGGGCUAGCGUUGUCCGGAUUUAUUGGGCGUAAAGAGCGUGUAGGCGGCCAUGUAGGUCAGGUGUGAAAUCCCUCGGCUCAACCGAGGAACGGCGCUCGAUACUGCAUGGCUUGAGGGAGAAAGGGGUAAGCGGAACUGAUGGUGGAGCGGUGAAAUGCGUUGAUAUCAUCAGGAACACCGGUGGCGAAAGCGGCUUACUGGGUCUCUUCUGACGCUGAGGUGCGAAAGCGUGGGGAGCAAACAGG
rnacentral:rRNA from 1 species